rnacentral:rRNA from 1 species
CCCUUAGAUGUUCUGGGCCGCACGCGCGCUACACUGAUGAAUUCAACGAGCACUAACCUGUGCCGAAAGGUUCGGGUAAUCUUGUGAAAUUUCAUCGUGAUGGGGAUUGAUUAUUGCAAUUUUUAAUCAUAAACGAGGAAUGCCUAGUAAGCGUGAGUCAUCAGCUCACGUUGAUUACGUCCCUGCCCUUUGUACACACCGCCCGUCGCUCCUACCGAUUGAAUGGUCCGGUGAAAUCUUCGGAUUGAGACUUUGAUUUCUUCACGGAAAACGCUGUUUUAAAAAGUUGAUUAAACCUUACCAUUUAGAGGAAGGUGAAGUCGUAACA